rnacentral:rRNA from 1 species
UACAGAGGGUGCAAGCGUUGUUCGGAAUCAUUGGGCGUAAAGGGCGUGUAGGCGGUUUGCUAAGUCAUGUGUGAAAGCCCACGGCUCAACCGUGGAAGGUCAUUGGAAACUGGAGGACUUGAGUACAGAAGAGGAAAGCGGAAUUCCACGUGUAGCGGUGAAAUGCGUAGAGAUGUGGAGGAACACCAGUGGCGAAGGCGGCCACCUAGCCCGCACCUGACGCUGAGGCGCGACAGCGUGGGGAGCGAACUGG